UACGCGGGGGGCGAGCGUUGUUCGGACUUAUUGGGCGUAAAGGGUGCGUAGGCGGUUUGGUAAGUCUUGUGUGAAAUCUCCAGGCUCAACUUGGAGUCUGCACGAGAAACUGCCGGGCUUGAGUGUGGGAGAGGUGAGUGGAAUUCCUGGUGUAGCGGUGAAAUGCGUAGAUAUCAGGAGGAACACCUGUGGCGAAAGCGGCUCACUGGACCACAACUGACGCUGAUGCACGAAAGCUAGGGGAGCAAACAGG
rnacentral:rRNA from 1 species